UAAAACGCAAACCAAUUCUUUCAACGUUAGGUACCUUCUAAAAUUUCGAGUUAGUCAUAACACAAGUUUUAAUGGUCACAUUUUCCCAAGAAAGUUGGUUACAAAGAAAGAAAAUGAAGAGAAAAUGGUUUCAUAUAAUGUUGUUUAUCAACAUCACCGACAUUGUUUCGGCAAUUCACCAAAUUAUACUCUCGUGGCUAUGCGCUUUGGCUUAGGCAAGGGAUUAUUGCUUGUUUGAUAGCCGGAAAACUAUGGAGUUAAUGAGAAUGAAUUUGUAUUAAAUUUGUAAGGAAAAACAAUGUCCACCCCCAUGUUUGCUCCCAUGUUAAUGCUAGUUCAACCAAAAUUUCUCCUUUCUUUCUAAGCUUUAAUUCCUAUCCACGCGAGUUGGAUGUGGUAUUGGUUGAAAAGUUUAUGAAGAAAAAUACAACUUUGGGAUGAGAUUGCAUUACCAUGGAGAUAACGAAUACUAUUUUCCUUGCAAAAUUA